AAGUGGGAGCUACUGACGCGACCAAAAAGUAAAGGGGGAAUGGGGUUCAGAGAUUUUCAUGGGUUCAACCUAGCCAUGCUUGCUAAACAGGCUUGGCGUAUGCUCACAGUCCCUGACUUGCUGUGUGCUCGGGUCCUCAAGGCCAAGUAUUUCCCUGAGACAUCAAUUUUGGAUGCUCAACCGAAGGCGGGGAUCUCUUACACUUGGUGAAGUAUCCUGAAAGGAGUACAACUGCUGAAGGAAGGUGUUAGAUGGAGAGUUGGGGAUGGAGCCAACAUAAACAUUUGGUCUGAUCCGUGGCUGGCCAAAGAUGGAACACGACGACCUUGCACUCUUCAUGGCAAUUGUGUGCUUACUAAGGUGGCGGAGCUCAUUGAUCCUACAUCCAUGGUGUGGGAUGAGCAACUAGUCUGGGAUAUCUUUUGGCCUGAGGAUGCUAACAUCAUACUAGCCAUGCAUAUAAGAGAGGAUUUUGAGGAUUACUACGCCUGA
rnacentral:rRNA from 1 species